rnacentral:rRNA from 1 species
GACUCUCGCCAACGGAUAUCUCGGCUCUCGCAUCGAUGAAGAACGUAGCGAAAUGCGAUACCUGGUGUGAAUUGCAGAAUCCUGCGAACCAUUGAGUCUUUGAACGCAAGUUGCGCCCGAGGCCACUCGGCCGAGGGCACGCCUGCCUGGGCGUCA